rnacentral:pre_miRNA from 1 species
AACAAUAUCCUGACGCUGCAUGAGUGUAUCAAAGAGAACUCCAGCAUCAGUGAUUUUGUUGCCAGAGG